rnacentral:lncRNA from 1 species
GUGACCAUCUCUGAUGCUCAACAAAUUGCACCUAGAACGUCCACACGAUCGAGGAAGAAUGACGUUUCCGAUCUCUGUGUGGACAACGAGUUGGGUUUCGCCAAAGACCGUACAAUUAGUAGGUAAGGCAUCCUCCAAGUAUACAUGUCAUGCAUAUAUAAUUCCAGUCAGUAUCCACAUCUAUAUUCAUUUUCAGCUGCUAAUGUUGAUAUCAUUUUUGAUGUAGAUUAACAGAAAUAAACAGCAAAGAAUACCUGGAACAACAUGCUGAACUCGUAGCAGAGAAACGAAACUGGCAAAACGGCGAUGAUCAGGAUGCUUCACAACCAUAACUUCUGCAUCCACUGUCUUCCAGAUUAAGCAGAUACCAUUUUUGUUACUGCACUUCACUAUUUUAACAUACUAGAAUUAUAUAUUUUAGUGAUCAGAAAUAAAGAUAAGUAAAUUGAAACUUUUCGUUUUAUACAAACUAACAAUUGUACCCACACAUUAGCAGAUUCAAAAGUUGGGAUAUUUUUUUUUUAUCAUGAGAAGUUGUGUAAAUAUGAAGGUUGAAAUAAAAGUACGCCCACUUGAAUUCUUGAUUCAAAACAUUAUAGUUUGUUAUGUGGAUGAAAAUCAGUAUAAACUAACUUGAUGAAAAAUUAACAGAUGAACAUUUUCUUUAUGUCAGCAAUGAUGUGCCAGAUUUGAAACUCUGCAUCUUAAAAAUGAAAUACUUGACGCCUUGAUU